UUUCAAACAAAAAAAAUAAAAUCAGAUCUUCCUUCUUCUCAACUUCCCAUUAAUCUUUCGUUUCAGUGUGUUUGAUCUUUAAAUGUAGGUCGAACAUAAGGUGCUAUUCUUCUUCAUCUCUCCCCCUUUUUUGUGUCAUACAUUAUCCCAGAAUCAUGGCUGCUUCUUCUCUCUUUCUCCACCAAAGCCUCCCUCACGAGUCACGAUCUCCGAUCUCUUCUAUGCAGUGGUGUACGUUUGAUCUUUAAAUGUAGGUCGGGUGGUCUCGGCGGUGGAGACAACAAGCGGUGGACUGGUGAACGGUGAUUAAACAGGAACUCACAUUAACAGAAACCCAAAAACACCAUCCUUUCAUCACUCAGCUUCUUCUUCAUUGCUCCGCUCCGAUCGAGAAUCUCACCGUCUAUUCAACCUUCUCGCUUAGCUUCUUCUGUGACCUUACGCGUGAGAACAGGAAACAACAACCAAAUGUUGAAGACAUAAGCUACAAAAGGUUAAGAUUCACAACAUUUUGGAGGCAACAUCUUGCACCUAGAGCUUCAGCCAGCAGAGGAUCUACUUCAAUAUAUGCUCCAACUUACAAAAAGAAAAUUCAGCAGUACCAGUUCUGUCAUAAGUGGCCAUUCCCCGCCUUAUCGACCCUCUGUGAAGUUGCCAGCAUCCACAGAAAUAUUUUAAAUUGAUGCACUUUCAUGCACAAUGUUGGGAGUUGCUUAAGCAUUUGAAAAUGGCGAAGUUACCGGCAUCCUUUACAUAAUAAUUUACUUUAAGGAAGACUUGAAGAUACCGGUAACCGAUGAGGAAUGUGAAGAUAUAGAUGUUACAAUCAAAUGUAGUUUAUUUUUUAUUAGAAUGUUCUCUUUUUUUUUAAGUACUACAAAGAGGGUCAAAGGACCAUGAUUAUAAUGUUGUUUAGUUGACUACUAUAAUGUAUAAAAUUUUCAUUGUAAGAGUGAAGGAUGUAAUUAUCUUGCAAUAUCUAG
rnacentral:lncRNA from 1 species